UGUGAGGUGAGCAAAGUUGCUGCCAAGCC
rnacentral:piRNA from 1 species